AUUGUUAACUGCUGGGAUGAUUGUACUUAACAUAAAUUUACAUAGGUUGGACUUAAAGAAGUAAAAUUAUGUAGGUUAGGUGUAGGAAAGUAAAGUUAUGUAGGUCAGGUUUAUGAAAACAAAUGGCUGGACAUUGGGAUGUUUUGUACUUAAGUGAAGUUACGUAGGUUAGACUUGGAAAGGUUAAAUAUGUAGGUUAGGUUUUGGAAGGUAAAGGUACAUCGGUUAGGUUUAGGAAAGUAAAGGUAUGUAGGUUAGGUUUAGGAAAGUAAAGUUAUGUAGGUUAGGCUUAUGAAAAGAAAUGGUUGGAUGUUGGGACGUUUUGUACUUCACGUAAAGUUAUGUAGGUUAGACUUAGGAAAGUAAAAUUAUGCAGG